rnacentral:snRNA from 1 species
GUGCGCACUUCAGUGGUACACAUACUAAAAUUGGAAUAAUACAGAGAUUAGCAUGGUCUAAAUUUACAAAAGGAUGACACACAAACUGGUAAUAUGUUCCUGUGUGUG